CCUACGGGGGGCAGCAGUGGGGAAUAUUGGACAAUGGGGGGGAACCCUGAUCCAGCCAUGCCGCGUGUGUGAAGAAGGCCCUCGGGUUGUAAAGCACUUUCAGUGAGGAAGAACGCCUGGUGGUUAAUACCCAUCAGGAAAGACAUCACUCACAGAAGAAGCACCGGCUAACUCCGUGCCAGCAGCCGCGGUAAUACGGAGGGUGCGAGCGUUAAUCGGAAUUACUGGGCGUAAAGCGCGCGUAGGUGGCUUGAUAAGCCGGUUGUGAAAGCCCCAGGCUCAACCUGGGAACGGCAUCCGGAACUGUCAAGCUAGAGUGCAGGAGAGGAAGGUAGAAUUCCCGGUGUAGCGGUGAAAUGCGUAGAGAUCGGGAGGAAUACCAGUGGCGAAGGCGGCCUUCUGGACUGACACUGACACUGAGGUGCGAAAGCGUGGGUAGCAAACAGGAUUAGAUACCCCUGUAGUC
rnacentral:rRNA from 1 species